CCUGGUGGUUAUGGCGAGGACGAAACACCCGAUCCCAUCCCGAACUCGGACGUGAAAAGCCUCAGCGCCGAUGGUACUGCAUCUUAAGGUGUGGGAGAGUAGGUCGCUGCCAGGU
rnacentral:rRNA from 1 species